rnacentral:tRNA from 1 species
UGGGACAUAGUGUAUUGGUAGCACAGGGAGUUUUGAGUUCUCUAGGUUAGGUUCAAUUCCUAUUGCCCCAG